GGCCAAAGGGAGCGAUUCCGGCAACGGAUGGGCAUGCGUGACAUUAGCUAGUGGGCGGGGCAACGGCCCACCAAGGCGACGAUGUCUAGGGGUUCUGAGAGGAAGGUCCCCCACACUGGUACUGAGACACGGACCAGACUCCUACGGGAGGCAGCAGUGAGGAAUAUUGGUCAAUGGGCGCGAGCCUGAACCAGCCAAGUCGCGUGAGGGAUGACGGCCCUACGGGUUGUAAACCUCUUUUGUCGGGGAGCAAAUUCCGCCACGUGUGGCGGAGUCGAGAGUACCCGAAGAAAAAGCAUCGGCUAACUCCGUGCCAGCAGCCGCGGUAAUACGGAGGAUGCGAGCGUUAUCCGGAUUUAUUGGGUUUAAAGGGUGCGUAGGCGGACUGUCAAGUCAGCGGUAAAAUACGGGGGCUCAACCUCCGCCCGCCGUUGAAACUGACGGUCUUGAGUGGGCGAGAAGUAUGCGGAAUGCGUGGUGUAGCGGUGAAAUGCAUAGAUAUCACGCAGAACUCCGAUUGCGAAGGCAGCAUACCGGCGCCCGACUGACGCUGAAGCACGAAAGCGUGGGUAUCGAACAGGAUUAGAUACCCUGGUAGUCCACGCAGUAAACGAUGCAUAAAGGCUGUCCGGG
rnacentral:rRNA from 1 species